rnacentral:sRNA from 1 species
AAAUUGUUGAAUACAUUGACUCAUCGGAGCAGGCUGGAAAUUAUGCUUCUUAGCCCUCUGUGAAACAUGUUUUUCAUUUUUUAUUUUUUUUAAACUGUAUCUUAGGAUCUGCUUCAAAACACAGAUGCCCACAAAAGAGCAUUCCAUGAAAUCUACCGGACCAGGUCUGUUAACGGGAUUCCAGUGCCACCUGAUCAAUUAGAGGACAUGGCCGAGAGGUUUCAUUUUGUUUCCUCCACAUCAGAGCUACACCUAAUGAAAAUGGAAUUUUUAGAAUUAAAGUACCGUCUGCUCUCACUGCUGGUUCUUGCAGAGUCAAAGCUGAAGUCUUGGAUCAUUAAGUACGGGAGGAGAGAGUCAGUGGAGCAGCUUCUACAAAACUACGUGUCUUUUAUAGAAAAUAGCAAGUUCUUUGAACAAUAUGAAGUGACAUACCAGAUCUUGAAACAGACAGCUGAGAUGUAUGUCAAAGCAGAUGGUUCAGUGGAAGAAGCUGAGAAUGUGAUGAAAUUCAUGAAUGAAACCACCGCUCAGUGGAGGAAUCUCUCAGUAGAAGUUAGGAGUGUGAGGAGCAUGCUGGAAGAAGUGAUCUCUAACUGGGAUCGCUAUGGCAAUACAGUGGCUAGUCUGCAAGCCUGGCUAGAGGAUGCUGAAAAAAUGCUCAAUCAAUCAGAAAAUGCCAAAAAG